rnacentral:lncRNA from 1 species
CUUCUGUUAAGAAAUGGCUUAAAAUUGGUAGUGGAUUGUUGUUGUUGGUAGUGGGUUGUUGGUGGUAGUGGAUUAGUGGAUGGUUGUUGGUGUCCAUUUUCAACCACAAAUCUUUGCCAAAGUUUUGGACAAUUAUGUCCUUGAACUCUCUUAUAAAUAGAGAGGUUCAUUAGCCAUAUUCAUCAUCCCAAACCAAGAGAGAGCAAAGCUUGUUCUUUGAAAGCUAGGAUUUUAGCUUUCGGGUUUUCUAUAGGGGUUGAGAGUUGUGAGGUUCUCGGGUUGUGUCUUGAGUGCAGUUGGAAGCGUGAUGUAUGCAAUGGUUUGCACUCGUCCAGACAUUUCACAUGCAGUUAGUGUGGUCAGCAGAUACAUGAGUUGUCCUGGCAAGGAACACUGGCAGGCCGUGAAAUGGAUUCUCAGGUACUUGAGAGGUUCUGCAGAUUUAUGCUUGGUAUAUGAUCAGAGUGACUGCACUAGCAGUGUCACGGGCUAUGUGGACUCUGAUUAUGCUGGAGAUCUGGACAAAAGAAGAUCUCUGACGGGUUAUGUUUUCACUUAUUCUGGAGGAGCCAUUAGUUGGAAAGCUGUGUUACAGUCUACCGUAGCCUUAUCUACGACUGAGGCGGAAUAUAUGGCGUUAGCAGAAGCAGUGAAAGAAGCAUUGUGGAUGAAAGGUCUAGUAAGCAGUUUGGGUUUACAACAGGAUUUCACUGUUGUAUUUUGCGAUAGCCAGAGUGCCAUACAUCUGACUAAAAAUCAGAUGUUUCAUGAACGGACCAAACACAUUGAUGUCAGAUAUCAUUUUGUUCGGGAACAUGUUACGCAAGGUGACAUUGUUAUCAGCAAGGUUGCUACCGAGAAGAAUCCUGCAGAUAUGUUAACUAAGGUGAUCCCUGCAUAUAAGUUCAAGCAUUGCUUGGACUUGAUAGGUAUUCGGGAUUGAUUAGCGCCAGAGAGGCGUUUGGAAGAGGUGAUCCAGUUCGAGGAAUUCACUAUGAUGUUCAGCUUGGUAAAUUUCAAGCCAAGGUGGAGAUUUGUUAAGAAAUGGCUUAAAAUUGGUAGUGGAUUGUUGUUGUUGGUAGUGGGUUGUUGGUGGUAGUGGAUUAGUGGAUGGUUGUUGGUGUCCAUUUUCAACCACAAAUCUUUGCCAAAGUUUUGGACAAUUAUGUCCUUGAACUCUCUUAUAAAUAGAGAGGUUCAUUAGCCAUAUUCAUCAUCCCAAACCAAGAGAGAGCAAAGCUUGUUCUUUGAAAGCUAGGAUUUUAGCUUUCGGGUUUUCUAUAGGGGUUGAG